GAUGCACGCUGGCGGCGUGCCUAACACAUGCAAGUCGAACGGAGUUAUUAUUAUGAAGUUUUCGGAUGGAUUAAUAAUAACUUAGUGGCGGACGGGUGAGUAACGCGUGGGUAACCUGCCUCAUACAGGGGGAUAAAAGUUGGAAACGGCUGCUAAAACCGCAUAACAUUGCGAUGUCGCAUGUCAAUGCAAUUAAAUAUUUAUAGGUAUGAGACGGGCCCGCGUCUGAUUAGCUAGUUGGUGGGGUAAUGGCCUACCAAGGCGACGAUCAGUAGCCGGCUUGAGAGAGUGACCGGCCACAUUGGGACUGAGACACGGCCCAAACUCCUACGGGAGGCAGCAGUGGGGAAUAUUGCACAAUGGGGGAAACCCUGAUGCAGCGACGCCGCGUGAGUGAAGAAGUAUUUCGGUAUGUAAAGCUCUAUCAGCAGGGAAGAAAAUGACGGUACCUGACUAAGAAGCCCCGGCUAACUACGUGCCAGCCGCCGCCGUAA
rnacentral:rRNA from 1 species